UGGUGGACUGAUCUGUCUGGUUAAUUCCGAUAACGAACGAGACUCUAGCCUGCUAAAUAGGCGUUACUUUCCGGCAUCUCGAAGGCUCGCGUCUCCCGUUCGCCGGCGGGUGUCGGGUUGCGGCGCUCCGGCGCUUGCGCUCGCCCCGUCCGUCCGUCCGGGUGUUCGCGGUUUUUACUGCCGGCGUACACAUGAAUCUUCUUAGAGGGACAAGCGGCUCCUAGCCGCACGAGAUUGAGCAAUAACA
rnacentral:rRNA from 1 species